rnacentral:rRNA from 1 species
CAGCAGCCGCGGUAAUACGAAGGUCCCGAGCGUUGUUCGGAAUCACUGGGCGUAAAGGGAGCGUAGGCGGCGUGGUAAGUCAGAUGUGAAAUCCCGGGGCUCAACCCCGGAACUGCAUCCGAUACUGCCAUGCUAGAGGAUUGGAGAGGUAGCUGGAAUUCUUGGUGUAGCAGUGAAAUGCGUGGAGAUCAAGAGGAACACUCGUGGCGAAAGCGAGCUACUGGACAAUAACUGACGCUGAGGCUCGAAGGCCAGGGUAGCGAAAGGGAUUAGAGACCCCCGUAGUCCCUGUCUCUUAUAC